rnacentral:rRNA from 1 species
GACGAACGCUGGCGGCGUGCCUAAUACAUGCAAGUCGAGCGAAUCAAUAGGAGCUUGCUCCUGUUGGUUAGCGGCGGACGGGUGAGUAACACGUGGGCAACCUGCCUGUAAGACUGGGAUAACACCGGGAAACCGGUGCUAAUACCGGAUAAUCCUUUUCCUCUCAAGAGGAAAAGCUGAAAGUCGGUUUCGGCUGACACUUACAGAUGGGCCCGCGGCGCAUUAGCUAGUUGGUGAGGUAACGGCUCACCAAGGCGACGAUGCGUAGCCGACCUGAGAGGCUGAUCGGCCACACUGGGACUGAGACACGGCCCAGACUCCUACGGGAGGCAGCAGUAGGGAAUCUUCCACAAUGGACGAAAGUCUGAUGGAGCAACGCCGCGUGAGCGAUGAAGGCCUUCGGGUCGUAAAGCUCUGUUGUUAGGGAAGAACAAGUACCGGAGUAACUGCCGGUACCUUGACGGUACCUAACCAGAAAGCCACGGCUAACUACGUGCCAGCCGCCGCGGUAACAC